rnacentral:rRNA from 1 species
GAUGAACGCUGGCGGCGUGCUUAACACAUGCAAGUCGAACGGUGAAGGUGGGAGCUUGCUCCUGCUGGAUCAGUGGCGAACGGGUGAGUAACACGUGAGUAACCUGCCCCGGACUCUGGGAUAAGCGUUGGAAACGACGUCUAAUACCGGAUACGAGACGAGAAGGCAUCUUCACCGUCUGGAAAGAUUUUUUGGUCUGGGAUGGACUCGCGGCCUAUCAGGUUGUUGGUGAGGUAAUGGCUCACCAAGCCUACGACGGGUAGCCGGCCUGGGAGGGUGGCCGGCCACACUGGGACUGAGACACGGCCCAGACUCCUACGGGAGGCAGCAGUGGGGAAUAUUGCACAAUGGGCGAAAGCCUGAUGCAGCAACGCCGCGUGAGGGACGACGGCCUUCGGGUUGUAAACCUCUUUUAGUAGGGAAGAAGCGAAAGUGACGGUACCUGCAGAAAAAGCACCGGCUAACUACGUGCCAGCAGCCGCCGUAA